rnacentral:rRNA from 1 species
GAUGAACGCUGGCGGCGUGCCUAAUACAUGCAAGUCGAGCGAACAGAUAAGGAGCUUGCUCCUUUGACGUUAGCGGCGGACGGGUGAGUAACACGUGGAUAACCUACCUAUAAGACUGGGAUAACUUCGGGAAACCGGAGCUAAUACCGGAUAACAUAUUGAACCGCAUGGUUCAAUAGUGAAAGGCGGCUUUGCUGUCACUUAUAGAUGGAUCCGCGCCGUAUUAGCUAGUUGGUAAGGUAACGGCUUACCAAGGCAACGAUACGUAGCCGACCUGAGAGGGUGAUCGGCCACACUGGAACUGAGACACGGUCCAGACUCCUACGGGAGGCAGCAGUAGGGAAUCUUCCGCAAUGGGCGAAAGCCUGACGGAGCAACGCCGCGUGAGUGAUGAAGGUCCUCGGAUCGUAAAACUCUGUUAUCAGGGAAGAACAAAUGUGUAAGUAACUGUGCACAUCUUGACGGUACCUGAUCAGAAAGCCACGGCUAACUACGUG